UCUCUAUCUAUCUAUUUAUACAACUCAACUUUUAUUUUCUCUCCAUCGAACUUCAUAAAACUCUCUCGACAAUCCAUCCGAUAAAAUCCACAGUUAAAUCUCAAGUUCCCAGCGAUCACAAGGCAACCGACAAGACCCCUGCCUCUUCCGCAGUUACAAGGAAACCGACCAUGAAGAACGCUUUCUUCUGCGAUUGUGAUCAACUGUAAAGGCAAGACCGCCGUCUGGGUUAUUACCAGUGGUUUGAACUCAGGUUAUGUUAGCAUCAAGUCUCACUCAUUUCUUAAUGUUUUAACAGGCUGAUCAGGUGAAGACAAACAUAUUGCCCUUCUCAGGUUUUGUUUGGCAUGGAAAUAUGGUGGGCAACUUCACACAUGAAGAUCAAUUUUUAAUGAAAAGUCAAAAGAAAAGACAAAAGAAAAGUUUGAUAAAUGCAUCAAAGAGAAGCUGUUGGCGUUUUGCGAUUUGUUUGACAUACAUGUUACAAAGGUUGUUCAAAGAUCUAACCACCCAAGCCGGCAGGAGUAAGGCUUUCUGUCUGACUGAGAAGGGUUGAUCUUGGCAUUGAUUAAUUGCUUUGGUGAUAUAGUUAUUCUGCACGACGACGUAUAUGCUUUCUGCUGCAGCUUCGUUCUGUUAUAUGACUUCACAAAAAUAUUGUAGGCAGCUCAAAAGAAUUUCACGACGGAGCUUGAGAGUUAAGAAAGAGGCUGAACGCAGUAUUUGAUGUCAUCAAUGGUGGGGAUUCAGCCUUACACUUAUUAUCUUGAAAAUGGAUCUUCUAGAUAUCUUUCUGCGGAAGCAGUUCAAAGCUUUAGGGCAGCUGUUAACACCUCGAGCCGGUUAUGUUAUUGUUUCACUUGAGAGAAACUUAUUUGUAUUUGGAGGGUUUACGGAUUCUCAGAAUCUUUGAAAUUUUAGUAUAGUUUUUGGUGAUGAUUUGUAACGGUGAAAUAUGGCUUCAAUUGCUUUAUCGGUCUUCUGAUUUCAAAAUAAAAUAUUACUAUUGGUUUGUCAUGAUAGAAAUGGGUAUAUUUCCAAGGUAGUUGCCAUUUAAGGAGGGUCAUCAGCUACAUUUGGUGAUGCAGCAGUUUUUUAACGUCCUUACACUGCAUGUUCCUUUUUCUUUGUUAUGGCUGCAAUAAGAAUCUUGAGCCGUUGAAUGACAUCUACUACGCACCUAAGCACAUGUUUCUCUCGACCUUUCCGUUGGUUAUAACACAUUUCCUUUUGUGCAAGGUUGCUAAUUGCAGACCAAAUCUUCUUUGCUUAUGGCCAUCAGAUCGUGUCCGUAAGGAAACAAAUGAAGCUAAAUUUCUGAGAGCAGAAAUUAGUUGUGGCUGGAACCAGCAUUGAUGAGUGUGUGUUGUUAACUUUUACGACUGAAAAUAGAG